CUGCCCGGUGCUGGAAGGUUAAGAGGAGAGGUUAGCGCAAGCGAAGCUUUGAAUUUAAGCCCCAGUAAACGGCGGCCGUAACAAUAACGGUCCUAAGGUAGCGAAAUUCCUUGUCGGGUAAGUUCCGACCUGCACGAAUGGCGUAACGACUUCCCCACUGUCUCGACCAGGAGCUCGGCGAAAUUGCAGUACGAGUAAAGAUGCUCGUUAAGCGCAGAAGGACGAAAAGACCCCGGGACCUUCACUAUAGCUUGGUAUUGGUGUUUGGUUCGGUUUGUGUAGGAUAGGUGGGAGACUAUGAAGC
rnacentral:rRNA from 17 species